GCCAGGUGUGGUGGCAGGCACCUAUAGUCCCAACUACUUGAGAAGCUGAGGCAGGAAGAUUUCUUGAAUCCAGGAGUGCUGAGCUGUAGUGUGCUAUGCUUAUCAGGCAUCCGCACUAAGUUCAGCAUCAAUAUAGUGACCUCUCAGGAACAGGGAACCACCAGGUUACCCAAGGAAGGCUGAAACUGGCCCAGGUCAGAAACAGAGAAGGUGAAACUUCCAUGCUGAUCAGUACUGGGAUUGUGCCUGUGAUUAGCCACUGCACUCCAGCCUGGGCAAUCUAGUGAAACCUCAUCUCUA
ensembl:misc_RNA Metazoa_SRP Metazoan signal recognition particle RNA